CAAUAGCGUAUAUUUAAGUUGUUGCAGUUAAAAAGCUCGUAGUUGGAUUUCGGAUGGGAUUUGCCGGUCCGUCGUUACGAUGUGCACUGGCCAGUCCUAUCUUGUUGUCGGGGACUAGCUCCUUGGAUUCACUUCCUGGGACUAGGAGCUGACGAGGUUACUUUGAGUAAAUUAGAGUGUUCAAAGCAAGCCUACGCUCUGAAUACAUUAGCAUGGAAUAACACGAUAGGACUCUGGCUUAUCUUGUUGGUCUGUGAGACUAGAGUAAUGAUUAAGAGGGACAGUCGGGGACAUUCGUAUUUCAUUGUCAGAGGUGAAAUUCUUGGAUUUAUGAAAGACGAACUUCUGCGAAAGCAUUUGUCAAGGAUGUUUUCAUUAA
rnacentral:rRNA from 1 species